GACGAACGCUGGCGGCGUGCUUAACACAUGCAAGUCGAACGGAAAGGCCUCAGCUUGCUGGGGUACUCGAGUGGCGAACGGGUGAGUAACACGUGGGUGAUCUGCCUUGCACUCUGGGAUAAGCUUGGGAAACUGGGUCUAAUACCGGAUAUGAACUGCCUUUAGUGUGGUGGUUGGAAAGUUUUUUCGGUGCAAGAUGAGCUCGCGGCCUAUCAGCUUGUUGGUGGGGUAAUGGCCUACCAAGGCGUCGACGGGUAGCCGGCCUGAGAGGGUGUACGGCCACAUUGGGACUGAGAUACGGCCCAGACUCCUACGGGAGGUAGCAGUGGGGAAUAUUGCACAAUGGGCGGAAGCCUGAUGCAGCGACGCCGCGUGGGGGAUGACGGCCUUCGGGUUGUAAACUCCUUUCGACAGGGACGAAGCUUUUUGUGACGGUACCUGUAUAAGAAGCACCGGCUAACUACGUG
rnacentral:rRNA from 1 species